UGAAACAUUAGGAACCUCUACAACCUACCAAGUAUGAAAAUAUGUUUGUUAUUCUCAGGUUAAAAAGAACCACCAAACAGUAGUGAAGCAGAGUAAGAAACUAAGAAAAUUCAGGAUAUAGCAAACUGAAACCAACAUAAUACAAACACCAGCUUAGGAGGCUCAUAAGUGAAUCUCAUGCUAGCAUAAAUGUAGGGAACAAAUUGCUCCAAGUUCCUUCAAAAGCCAUCUAUGAUUAGUGUCAAUAAAAGCUAAAUUUUCAUGAGCUUUUUCAAGCACAUGGUUUCACCAAACAUCCAAAAUAUUAUUAAAAUGCCACCUCCUCUCCCUGUGUGGGGCAAAAGAUAAACGAGAAAAAAUAUAACUCAGACUAUAUAUUUCUAAAUGUACUCACUGUUUCUCGCAAGGCUGACG
rnacentral:misc_RNA from 1 species